AUUUACCGCUGGCGGCAGGCCUCACCCAUGCAAGUCGAACGAGUGGCGGACGUGUGAGUAAUGUCUGGGCAACUGCCCGAUUGAGGGGGAUAACUACUGGAAACGGUAGCUAAUACCGCAUACCAUCUGAUUUCCCCCUAUGGGAGUAGCUAGUAGGUGGGGUAACGGCUCACCUAGGCGACGAUCCCUAGCUGGUCUGAGAGGAUGCCCAGCCACAAUGGAAAUGAGACACGGCCCAGACGCCUACGGGAGGCAGCAGUGGGGAAUAUUGCACAAGGGGCGCAAGCCUGAUGCAGCCAUGCCGCGUGUAUGAAGAAGGCCUUCGGGUUGUAAAGUACUUUCAGCGAGGAGGCGUUACUCGCAGAAGAAGCACCGGCUAACUCCGUGCCAGCAGCCGCGGUAAUAC
rnacentral:rRNA from 1 species